CGGGAAGUGGCGCAGCCCGGCUAGCGCGCAACGUUCGGGACGUUGAAGUCGCGGGUUCAAAUCCCGCCUUCCCGA
rnacentral:tRNA from 1 species